UGUGAAGCUGGUGAAGGUGGUGUUCCAAAAAACCGACCACCGCGGAAAAAACAUGUGACGCGCUCACCCGAAAGCCCUCCUCACCCACAACUGGCGCGCAUCAAAGAAAUAAUAAAUAAAACGAAAUAAAUUCCCUAAAACAGGAAGG
rnacentral:lncRNA from 1 species